rnacentral:sRNA from 1 species
CUUCUUGUACAGUCUGCAGAACCGGAAACCAUCUUUGUAUGGCAGCCUAACUUGUCAAGGAAUUGGCCUAGAUGGCAUCCCAGAGGUUACAGCUUCAGAAGGAUUUAUUGUGAAUGAAAUAAACAAGAAAAGCAUUCAUAUUUCAUGUCCAAAGGAAAAUGCAUCUUCUAAGUUUUUGGCACCAUAUACUACUUUUUCCAGAAUUCAUACAAAGAGUAUAACAUGCCUGGACAUUUCCAGCGGAGGAGGUCUUGGUGUGUCUUCUAGUACUGACGGGACCAUGAAAAUCUGGCAGGCUUCCAAUGGAGAACUCAGGGUUUUUCCCAUCAGGCCUUGUGGUCCUGAGUGGGGGAAUGGAUGCCCAGCUGAAGAUAUGGUCAGCUGAAGAUG